CGGCGUGCUUUAUACAUGCAAGUCGAAGGAUGAAGUUCCUUCGGGAAUGGAUUAGUGGCGAACGGGUGAGGAACACGUGAGAAACCUGCCUUUCAUUCUGGGAUAACACCGGGAAACCGGUGCUAAUACCGGAUACUCCGUCUUGGCGGCAUCGCCGAGCCGGGAAAAAAUUUUGAUGAAAGAUGGUCUCGCGGCCUAUCAGCUAGUUGGUGAGGUAAAGGCUCACCAAGGCGACGACGGGUAGCCGGCCUGAGAGGGCGACCGGCCACACUGGGACUGAGACACGGCCCAUACUCCUACGGGAGGCAGCAGUAGGGAAUAUUGGGCAAUGGGCGCAAGCCUGACCCAGCGACGCCGCGUGAGGGAUGAAGGUCUUCGGAUUGUAAACCUCUUUCAGUAGGGAAGAAGCGAAAGUGACGGUACCUAAAGAAGAAGCACCGGCUAACUAUGUGCCAGCAGCCGCGGUAAUACAUAGGGUGCAAGCGUUGUCCGGAAUUAUUGGGCGUAAAGAGCUCGUAGGUUGUUUGUCGCGUCGAUUGUGAAAAUCUGAGGCUCAACCUCAGACCUGCAGUCGAUACGGGCAGACUAGAGUGUGGUAGGGGAGACUGGAAUUCCUGGUGUAGCGGUGGAAUGCGCAGAUAUCAGGAGGAACACCCAUGGGGAAGGCAGGUCUUUGGGCCAUAACUGACACUGAGGAGCGAAAGUGCGGGGAGCGAACAGGAUUAGAUACCCUGGUAGUCCGCACCGUAAACGGUGGGCACUAGUUGUGGGAACCUUCCACGGUUUCCGCGACGCAGCAAACGCAUUAAGUGCCCCGCCUGGGGAGUACGAUCGCAAGAUUAAAAAUCAAAGGAAUU
rnacentral:rRNA from 1 species